CUUACCGUCGUUUAGAUCUGU
rnacentral:siRNA from 1 species